rnacentral:rRNA from 1 species
UACGUAGGGUGCAAGCGUUGUCCGGAAUUAUUGGGCGUAAAGAGCUCGUAGGCGGUCUGUCGCGUCUGCUGUGAAAUCUCAGGGCUCAACUCUGACAUUGCAUACGAUACGGGCAGGCUUGAGUUCGGUAGGGGGAGACUGGAAUUCCUGGUGUAGCGGUGAAAUGCGCAGAUAUCAGGAGGAACACCAGUGGCGAAGGCGAGUCCCUGGACAACACCUGACACUGAGGCACGAAAGCCGGGGGAGCAAACAGG